rfam:TPA: Bos taurus chromosome 11, whole genome shotgun sequence.
UCCCUUGUGGCUUAGGUGGUAAAGAAUCCACCUGCAAUGUGGGAGACCUGGGUUCGAUCCCUGGGUUGGGAA